rnacentral:misc_RNA from 1 species
GAUGAAGAAUGUAGCGAAAUGCGAUAAGUAAUGUGAAUUGCAGAAUUCAGUGAAUCAUCGAAUCUUUGAACGCACAUUGCGCCCGCUAGUAUUCUGGCGGGCAUGCCUGUCCGAGCGUCAUUUCAACCCUCAAGCCCCCGGGCUUGGUGUUGGGGAUCGGCGAGCCUCCGCGCCCGCCGUCCCCUAAAUCUAGUGGCGGUCUCGCUGUAGCUUCCUCUGCGUAGUAGCACACCUCGCACUGGGAAACAGCGCGGCCACGCCGUUAAACCCCCAACUUCUGAACGUUUGACCUCGGAUCAGGUAGGAAUACCCGCUGAACUUAAGCAUAUCAAUAAGCGGAGGA